GCCUCACUCCAUUAUCUGUUACUGUUUUGUUAUCCAUCUAAUCAUCUCCAUGAUGUGUUCUUAUCAUCAGGUUCUGAAUUCCCAGUUCCGUUUGUAUUCUUGCACUGUAACUCACAGUGUCGAUUUAUAUGCGCAGCCAAGAUCUGGUGGAUUCAGACAGUGGAUUCUGCAGCACUUGGAAUUGUAGAUGUUUUUCCCUUUGAUGUGUUCAUGCUAAGAGGUUCAGCCUUUGGAUGUAAGAUGUGAAAUUCCCUGUUAGUUUACAUAUAGUGGGAUCGCUGCGUUUUCUAUAA